GAUGAACGCUGGCGGCGUGCCUAAUACAUGCAAGUCGAGCGAACGGAUCAGGACCUUUCUUUUCUGAUUUUAUCGGCCGACGGGAGCUUCACUUGUGGACAACCUACCUACCCGAAUGGGAUAACUUUGGGAAACCGUAGCUUAGAACCGAUGAUUUUUUGCACCUCAUUGUUCAAACGUUGAAUACGGUCUUUCGUUCACUUAUAGAUUGCUCCGCGCUGCAUUCGUUAGUUGGUAAGGUAACGGCUUACCAAGGCAACGAUGGAUAGCCGACCCGAGAGGGAGAUCGCACACACUGGAAGUGAGGAAGGGCCCAGACUCCUACGGGAGGCAGCAGUAGGGACUCUUCCGCAAGGGGCGAAAGCCUAACGGAGCAACGCCGGGGAAGUGAUGAACGUGCUCGGAUCGUAAAACUCUGUUAUUAGGGGAGAACAUAUGUGUAAGUAACUGUGCACAUCUUGACGGUACCGAGUCAGAAAGCCACGGCUAACUACGUG
rnacentral:rRNA from 1 species